GGAUUUAUGGAAAUGUUAUGAAUGUAUUUAGGUUGGAUGGAUGCCACGGCAAGGUUGAAGGGAAUGUAUGGAUUUGUGUUUGAUUUUUGGUUGGAUGAGUGCCACGGCAAGGGAAUGGAUUUGUAUGUGUUUGUGGGAUGUGGGAAUAUAUGGAUGAAUGUAAGGUGCUCACGGCUAGGGCAUUGGAAUUCUAGUUAUGGUGAAGGGUGGAUGUAUUUAUAGGCUAGGGAGAGGAUGUAGUGGGUGGUGGUAAUAAGUGGAUGUAGUGGUAGGUGAAUGUGUUAGGUGGUUGUAAUGAGUGGAUGUGGUGGUAGGUGAAUGUGUUGGGUGGUUGUAAUGAGUGGAUGUGUUGGGUGAAAUGAGUGGAUGUAGUGGUAGGUGAAUGAAUGUGUUGGG
rnacentral:lncRNA from 1 species